CCUACGGGAGGCAGCAGUGGGGGAUAUUGCACAAUGGGGGAAACCCUGAUGCAGCGACGCCGCGUGGGUGAAGAAGUAUUUCGGUAUGUAAAGCCCUAUCAGCAGGGAAGAAAGAAGACGGUACCUGACUAAGAAGCCCCGGCUAACUACGUGCCAGCAGCCGCGGUAAUAUGUAGGGGGCGAGCGUUAUCCGGAUUCACUGGGUGUAAAGGGAGCGUAGACGGCCGUGCAAGCCAGGAGUGAAAGCCCGGGGCCCAACCCCGGGACUGCUCUUGGAACUGGGCGGCUGGAGUGCGGGAGGGGCAGGCGGAAUUCCUGGUGUAGCGGUGAAAUGCGUAGAUAUCAGGAAGAACACCGGCGGCGAAGGCGGCCUGCUGGACCGCGACUGACGUUGAGGCUCGAAAGCGUGGGGAGCGAACAGGAUUAGAUACCCCAGUAGUC
rnacentral:rRNA from 1 species